UGUUGUGAAUGAUGAGAACAAUAAUUAUACAGUUAUCCCUGUCUGAUGCAUUGGUGCUGAGAUUUUGUAAUCUGACACUCAC